UACGUAGGGUGCAAGCGUUAAUCGGAAUUACUGGGCGUAAAGCGUGCGCAGGCGGUCUUGCAAGACAGAUGUGAAAUCCCCGGGCUUAACCUGGGAACUGCAUUUGUGACUGCAAGGCUGGAGUGCGGCAGAGGGGGAUGGAAUUCCGCGUGUAGCAGUGAAAUGCGUAGAUAUGCGGAGGAACACCGAUGGCGAAGGCAAUCCCCUGGGCCUGCACUGACGCUCAUGCACGAAAGCGUGGGGAGCAAACAGU
rnacentral:rRNA from 1 species